UACAGAGACUGCAAGCGUUAUUCGGAUUCACUGGGCGUAAAGGGUGCGCAGGCGGCCGAGUGUGUGAGGCGUGAAAGCCCGGGGCUUGAACCCCGGAAUUGCCACCUCCAAAUACACGGCUAGAGCAUGGAGAGGGUAGCAGGAAUCAUGGUGUAGCAGUGAAAUGCGUAGAUAUCAUGAGGAAUACCAGAGGCGAAGGCGGCUACCUGGACAAUUGCUGACGCUCAGGCACGAAAGCGUGGGGAGCAAAAGGG
rnacentral:rRNA from 1 species